ACCCGUCUAGCUCAUUGGUAGAGCACAAGGCUAUUAACCUUGUGGUCGUGGGUUCGAGCCCCACGGUGGGCG
rnacentral:tRNA from 1 species